rnacentral:lncRNA from 1 species
AUCCUCUCUAAAAUCCUACUGACAAUAUAAGAAGAUUCAUAAAAUGUCCACAGAAAUCAGAGCAGGUGUCAUUCGGACUAAGCUGGCUCUAUUUCUCACUAUGAUUAACCAGCUCGUAAUGACAACAUUUCUUAUCUUACAACUGUGGCAUGAAGAGGGAGCUGUAGCUCUUCUGAGACACAAUUCUGCACACCCCAGCUUAUCCACGCUCUGCGAUCUCGUGUCUGUUUCUCUCUCUCUCUCUCUCUCUCUCUCUCUCUCUCUCUCUCUCUCUCUCUCUCUCUCUCUCUCUCUCUCUCUCUCAUCAUUUUAACCAUUGUACCAGCUCCAUUUAAAUGUAUCUGCGGAGGAUCUGGUCAAGUGGAGAUAAUCCAUGCAAAUCAGAAACUGGUUGUCAGUGUGUGGUUCCCGGAGAGGACUCAGCCUGAGGAGGUCACUCGUUCACAGCCGCUCCUCCCAUUCUAUCUCUCCCCUUAUUGCAGAACUGCUGUAUGUAUACAGUAGCAGAAAGGACUCAAUUGACUUCAACUGCUGCCUGGCUUUGCUUACAACUUUUUCUUAUAAAGGAACUUACCUCCAUCUGUCUCUUGAAGGUGGCUGGCUACUUCCUCUAAACUCCACAACUCAUUCGAAAGACUAUGGAGCCUACAUAGUUUCUAAAGACAAACGAUGAAUUUCAAAGUAAGUCCCAGGAUGGUUUUAGCUAUGGUGUGAAUUCAAUCAUUGUGUAAGAGUGUAGUACUUUGCCUGUGGGUGAUUUUCUAAGUUAUAGCAUUCAAUGAGCCUUUAUUUCAGGGUAAAAUUGUGUUCCUGGGUAGAGAUGAAAACGUGAGUCGGUGCAUGUGUGGCUUCUUGUUAUCUGCUCUGUUGCUGCCAGCUGGCUGCCUACCUGUCUCUGUGUUGGACAAAAGAAUUCUUGGGAUGGGAGAGCACUCCUGCUUUGGAAUGUGAGUAGACAUCACAAAUCACAGUUAAGGAGAGAUGAAUUAGAACUGCAUGCAGCAA